rnacentral:rRNA from 1 species
GCGUAAAGCGCACGCAGGCGGUCUGUUAAGUCAGAUGUGAAAUCCCCGGGCUUAACCUGGGAACUGCAUUUGAAACUGGCAGGCUUGAGUCUCGUAGAGGGGGGUAGAAUUCCAGGUGUAGCGGUGAAAUGCGUAGAGGUCUGGAGGAAUACCGGUGGCGAAGGCGGCCCCCUGGACGAAGACUGACGCUCAGGUGCGAAAGCGUGGGGAGCAAACAGGAUUAGAUACCCUGGUAGUCCACGCCGUAAACGAUGUCGACUUGGAGGUUGUUCCCUUGAGGAGUGGCUUCCGGAGCUAACGCGUUAAGUCGACCGCCUGGGGAGUACGGCCGCAAGGUUAAAACUCAAAUGAAUUGACGGGGGCCCGCACAAGCGGUGGAGCAUGUGGUUUAAUUCGAUGCAACGCGAAGAACCUUACCUACUCUUGACAUCCACGGAAUUUGGCAGAGAUGCCUUAGUGCCUUCGGGAACCGUGAGACAGGUGCUGCAUGGCUGUCGUCAGCUCGUGUUGUGAAAUGUUGGGUUGAGUCCCGCAACGAGCGCAACCCUUAUCCUUUGUUGCCAGCAAUUCGGUCGGGAACUCAAAGGAGACUGCCGGUGAUAAACCGGAGGAAGGCGGGGAUGACGUCAAGUCAUCAUGGCCCUUACGAGUAGGGCUACACACGUGCUACAAUGGCGCAUACAAAGAGAAGCGACCUCGCGAGAGCAAGCGGACCUCAUAAAGUGCGUCGUAGUCCGGAUCGGAGUCUGCAACUCGACUCCGUGAAGUCGGAAUCGCUAGUAAUCGUGGAUCAGAAUGCCACGGUGAAUACGU